rnacentral:rRNA from 1 species
AUUGAACGCUGGUGGCAGGCUUAACACAUGCAAGUCGAGCGGGGUGAUGGUGCUUGCACUAUCACUUAGCGGCGGACGGGUGAGUAAUGCUUAGGAAUCUGCCUAUUAGUGGGGGACAACAUCUCGAAAGGGAUGCUAAUACCGCAUACGUCCUACGGGAGAAAGCAGGGGAUCACUUGUGACCUUGCGCUAAUAGAUGAGCCUAAGUCGGAUUAGCUAGUUGGUGGGGUAAAGGCCUACCAAGGCGACGAUCUGUAGCGGGUCUGAGAGGAUGAUCAGACACACUGGGACUGAGAAACGGCCCAGAGUCGUACGGGAGGCAGCAGUGGGGAAUAUUGGACAAUGGGGGGAACCCUGAUCCAGCCAUGCCGCGUGUGUGAAGAAGGCCUUAUGGUUGUAAAGCACUUUAAGCGAGGAGGAGGCUCUUUUGGUUAAUACCCAAGAUGAGUGGACGUUACUCGCAGAAUAAGCACCGGCUAACUCUGUGCCAGCCGCCGCGGUAA